GUGAAAGGGAAAAGCACUGAUCUGGUGACCUUUGUUUGCGUAACUCCUGCCCACAGUUCCUUGUGUGACAUUUGAGGGGUGAUGAAGUCCAAGUUGGCUUGCAUGGUGGUGUCUCAUCAGGAACCUUUGCCAGCAGCUCUCUAAGGACAAGAAAUUUGCCUCCAGCUCUUUUCUAACCAGAUGGCAGCCCGAGUCGGAAGACCGGAGCAGUCCGCAGAAGCCCCUGCCUUGGGCAGAGGAAGAGUCCCACCAGCUGCAGGCUCCUGCUGCAUUUCUGCCUGCGUUGCAGAGCCAGGGACCUUGGCUAGUCAACACCUGACAAUCUCCCCUUUGGGAGAGGUGGCAGUGCCUGAUCUCAGAGGGAGUUUGGGACCCCUGCCUCCAGGGAGACAGUGUCCUGGUCUGGUAGGAACUGCGCCUCCACUUUGUGAUCCCAGUCUGGGCAUGAUUCCCCCAAGAAACCCAGGUGGAUGCAAUGGCCAAGCUAUGGACUGAAAGUUAUGGAUUAGCAGGGGAAAAUGUAUGAAUUCUCUGCCAUAAAUAGCAGCAGCCACCAAAAUACAUCCAAACCAGAAAGCCUAGCUGAAUGAAAAUCAGAGAUUUGGGGGGAUGUGCAUUGGCUGGAACACCUG
ensembl:lncRNA